GCAGCAGAGGGAGAAAAGCAGAACAGGAAUUCCAGACCCCUGCAGGACUAAUUCAGAUGAAUCCCACAGAAGAAGGGUACAAGGCUUCCUGCACAUGGUCUCUUUUUUGGGGCAAUUUGAAGAGGUACCCAGUACACCUUAGAAAUGGAAAAACUUAUUAAAGCCUAAUUGAGGACUUUUGAGUUGGAUCUUUGUUACACUGGAGGACCAAGCCACAUCUUCAGCACUGACCUGUUCUUGAAAAGUGGAGAAGACCCAUGAUGGGGAAGGAAACUGAGGCAAGAAGGGUUGGCAGUGUCAGGCCUACCCAGCAAGGGGUACUAUGGAGGAUAUACUUCCCUGUAAUGGAAAGGAAGCUUCAUAUGUACAGCAACUGAAUCAGGACUCCUCCCCAUGCUGUCUGGCUCUCACCUAAUUCUUGUUUGCCACAUACAGACUUCAUGAAAAGGGGGCUUUCUCCUUCAUGGCCCCGCUUCCCUACUUCCAUGUGAUUAAAAUGGUUUUUGUCU